GCGAUGGCAUGAGACCCCCCACUCUGGGCAGGCACGAGAGGAAAAGAGAGAGUGGUUGGGUAUGUCGUGGUUGGCGGGUUGGAAUUGGUAGUCUGCGGUGUUGUGGUGGCGACGUUGCUAAAGAUAUUUCAGCCGGUGAUGGUGGCUAUUGGAGAGAGGCGACGACAUACGCGAGGCGAGGCCCUAACCCAUCUCUCGCGCCAGAAAUUCUAGAGAAGGCGAGGAUGCCACGAUUGGCGGUGGUGCGGCGACGCCGACGAUGCCAGGUGAAGACCAGGUGACGGCGCAGUGGCCGACCGGUUGGUGGUAAGGAGGCAGUGCGGCUGUCGGAAGUGGAGUCUCUAGGCCGGAGGGAGAGACGUUAGGUCUCUUGGGUCUCUGGAAUGGAUAGGAACUCAAAAUGAGGUGCAGAUUGGGAGAACCCCUUAGGGUUUCUGGAAGUUUGGGUUACUUGGGCCAACACUGGCCAUUGGAAACAAUUUUCCUCUGACACCCCCAUUUCUCAUCUUCGUACCCCUUUCUGCCUAGGCCAACACUGGGCCAAGUCAAAAACAUGAAACUUUCCUUUCUGCACCCCAAUUUCGUUUUCACACACCUGACCACUUGAGUUUAGGCCCAAUAAGUUUUAAAAAAAAAAGUGAUUUAGACACCCCAUCUUUUAUUUAAACACCACUACACUUUUUAUUUUAUUUCAUCAUUAAACUUUUCAUAUUAUCUUUAUUUUUACUCUUUAUUUCUAUUUAGUAAUU
rnacentral:lncRNA from 1 species